rnacentral:rRNA from 1 species
GGGUUCUAUUCCCAAACCGUGUAUACAUACCUUUGUUGCUUUGGCAGGCCGCCUUUUAGGCGUCGGCUCCGGCUGACUGCGCCUGCCAGAGGACCCAAACUCGUUUGUUUAGUGAUGUCUGAGUACUAUAUAAUAGUUAAAACUUUCAACAACGGAUCUCUUGGUUCUGGCAUCGAUGAAGAACGCAGCGAAAUGCGAUAAGUAAUGUGAAUUGCAGAAUUCAGUGAAUCAUCGAAUCUUUGAACGCACAUUGCGCCCCUUGGUAUUCCGAGGGGCAUGCCUGUUCGAGCGUCAUUAUAACCACUCAAGCCUCGGCUUGGUCUUGGGGUUCGCGGUCUCGCGUCCCUUAAAAUCAGUGGCGGUGCCGUCUGGCUCUAAGCGUAGUAAUUCUCUCGCUAUAGGGUCCCGGCGGUUGCCUGCCAGAACCCCCCAUUUUUUACGGUUGACCUCGGAUCAGGUAGGGAUACCCGCUGAACUUAAGCAUAUCAUA